GACGAACGCUGGCGGCGUGCUUAACACAUGCAAGUCGAACGAAGAGCGAUGGAAGCUUGCUUCUAUCAAUCUUAGUGGCGAACGGGUGAGUAACGCGUAAUCAACCUGCCCUUCAGAGGGGGACAACAGCUGGAAACGACUGCUAAUACCGCAUACGAUCUAAUCUCGGCAUCGAGGAUAGAUGAAAGGUGGCCUCUACAUGUAAGCUAUCACUGGAGGAGGGGAUUGCGUCUGAUUAGCUAGUUGGAGGGGUAACGGCCCACCAAGGCGAUGAUCAGUAGCCGGUCUGAGAGGAUGAACGGCCACAUUGGGACUGAGACACGGCCCAGACUCCUACGGGAGGCAGCAGUGGGGAAUCUUCCGCAAUGGACGAAAGUCUGACGGAGCAACGCCGCGUGAGUGAUGACGGCCUUCGGGUUGUAAAGCUCUGUUAAUCGGGACGAAAGGCCUUCUUGCGAAUAGUGAGAAGGAUUGACGGUACCGGAAUAGAAAGCCACGGCUAACUACGUG
rnacentral:rRNA from 1 species